rnacentral:rRNA from 1 species
AGGCUGUCUCCACCCGAGACUCAGUGAAAUUGAACUCGCUGUGAAGAUGCAGUGUACCCGCGGCAAGACGGAAAGACCCCGUGAACCUUUACUAUAGCUUGACACUGAACAUUGAGCCUUGAUGUGUAGGAUAGGUGGGAGGCUUUGAAGCGUGGACGCCAGUCUGCGUGGAGCCGACCUUGAAAUACCACCCUUUAAUGUUUGAUGUUCUAACGUGGACCCGUAAUCCGGGUUGCGGACAGUGUCUGGUGGGUAGUUUGACUGGGGCGGUCUCCUCCUAAAGAGUAACGGAGGAGCACGAAGGUUGGCUAAUCCUGGUCGGACAUCAGGAGGUUAGUGCAAUGGCAUAAGCCAGCUUGACUGCGAGCGUGACGGCGCGAGCAGGUGCGAAAGCAGGUCAUAGUGAUCCGGUGGUUCUGAAUGGAAGGGCCAUCGCUCAACGGAUAAAAGGUACUCCGGGGAUAACAGGCUGAUACCGCCCAAGAGUUCAUAUCGACGGCGGUGUUUGGCACCUCGAUGUCGGCUCAUCACAUCCUGGGGCUGAAGUAGGUCCCAAGGGUAUGGCUGUUCGCCAUUUAAAGUGGUACGCGAGCUGGGUUUAGAACGUCGUGAGACAGUUCGGUCCCUAUCUGCCGUGGGCGCUGGAGAACUGAGGGGGGCUGCUCCUAGUACGAGAGGACCGGAGUGGACGCAUCACUGGUGUUCGGGUUGUCAUGCCAAUGGCACUGCCCGGUAGCUAAAUGCGGAAGAGAUAAGUGCUGAAAGCAUCUAAGCACGAAACUUGCCCCGA